UUUUUUUUAGGCAACUUACUCUCCAUUCGACCUUGCAGGUCACACCAUGGUCUCAAGAGGGAAAAUGAGUGCUCUAUGGAUUGAACAGAAAAGGUGAAUCAAAACUCCAACCAUCUGUAUGAGGGUCUGGAUGGAUAAAGGAUGCCCACUGGAGCUGGAAAUGAUGGAUCAGGUGGAUCCACACUUGAACCAUCUGUAUGAUGAUCUGCACCCACUGGAUCUGUAAAUGGUGGUGCAGGUUUCUGAAUUGAUGUCAGAUGCAAAGCAGAAGCUUAUUUUCUUCCAGUUUGGCUUCAUUGUGGAAAAAUGCUUGAAACUAAAAUGCAGAAUUCUGGCCUGGUGUUUGGUCCCCCCUUUCUCUGGCUUGUGUCUCCAUCAUCAUUACACUCUUGUCAGUGUAAUAGUAUCGUUGUCUGCGUACCAGGACUUUGUUACUCAGCUGUCCCUUCUCCUUCAAGCUACAUU